CCCAAUCCUUGUGAUGAAAUUUGCUUCAAAAAUCGUCUCAAUCCGAGCCCCCAAUCUCAAAAUAUGAUGAAAGGACCAAAACCUCGAAAUAUAUAGAAUCUGCCCGGGCAUCGUCACAUCUGCGACACACUUAGCUGCUCUCUUUUGCGACAAACGUUCCGCUUCUGCAGAGAGGCACUAGAGAAAUGGCCCUCGCACCUGCGGAAAAACGUCCGCUCCUGCGCUCAAAAUCUCGCAUCUGCGCACACGCAGGUGCGCUACAAAAAUUCGCUUCUGUGGUCUUCCUUCUGUUAAUUGAGUCACAUCUCAAUUUCUCAAACACAUGAAAAAUACAUAAAAAAAAAUAUAAGUUAAUUGACUACACAGCUCUACCGAAUCGGCUAAGUCUCAAUUUCUACGGUGCACAUCUGUCACCUAGCAUGUGCGUCACCUCCAAGCAAAUCACAUAACACGUAUAAUCAGGGUUCAUACCCUCAGCUCCAAGUUUAGAAGUGUUACUUACCCCGAACAAGCCAAAUCCAAUACCGAGCAAGCCAAACGAUCCUCCAAAAUACCAUCAUGCGCGUACCAACCUCUGAACGGCUCGAAACUAGCCAAAAGCAACUCAAAUACAUCAAAUAAAGUAUAAGGAAAUAAGUCCAAUUGAUAAAGUCGAAUAUUUACUCAAAAGCCCAAAAUCAACCAAAAACAAACUCGGGCCCGUACCUCGGAACCCAAUGAAAC
rnacentral:lncRNA from 1 species